GGCGCAGUGGCGAAGAAGCUACGCGGUGGUCUGCAAAACCACUAUACGUGGGUGCGAAUCCCACCUGCGCCU
rnacentral:tRNA from 1 species